rnacentral:rRNA from 1 species
UACACACCGCCCGUCACACCAUAGGAGUUGAUUGCACCAGAAGUAGGUAGCCUAACCGCAAGGGGGCGCUUACCACGGUGUGGUCAAUGACUGGGGUG